rnacentral:tRNA from 1 species
CACUAGGAAGCUAAAUAGGGACUAGCGUCAGCCUUUUAAGCUGAAGACUGGUGGCCCCCAACCACCUCUAGUGA